AUACGGAGGGGGUUAGCGUUGUUCGGAAUAACUGGGCGUAAAGCGCACGUAGGCGGAAUGUUAAGUUAGAGGUGAAAUCCCAGGGCUCAACCCUGGAACUGCCUUUAAUACUGGCAAUCUAGAGACCGAGAGAGGUGAGUGGAAUUCCGAGUGUAGAGGUGAAAUUCGUAGAUAUUCGGAGGAACACCAGUGGCGAAGGCGGCUCACUGGCUCGGUACUGACGCUGAGGUGCGAAAGCGUGGGGAGCAAACAGGAUUAGAAACCCUAGUAGUCC
rnacentral:rRNA from 1 species